rnacentral:rRNA from 1 species
GACGAACGCUGGCGGCGUGCUUAACACAUGCAAGUCGAACGGAAAGGCCCUGCUUUUGUGGGGUGCUCGAGUGGCGAACGGGUGAGUAACACGUGAGUAACCUGCCCUUGACUUUGGGAUAACUUCAGGAAACUGGGGCUAAUACCGGAUAGGAGCUCCUGCUGCAUGGUGGGGGUUGGAAAGUUUCGGCGGUUGGGGAUGGACUCGCGGCUUAUCAGCUUGUUGGUGGGGUAGUGGCUUACCAAGGCUUUGACGGGUAGCCGGCCUGAGAGGGUGACCGGCCACAUUGGGACUGAGAGACGGACCAGACUCCUACGGGAGGCAGCGGUGGGAAAUAUUGCACAAUGAGCGGGAGCCUGAUGCAGAAACGCCGCGUGCGGGAUGACGGCCUUCGGGUUGUAAACCGCUUUCGCCUGUGACGAAGCGUGAGUGACGGUAAUGAGUAAAGAAGCACCGGCUAACUACGUG